rnacentral:rRNA from 1 species
UACGUAGGGUGCAAGCGUUACUCGGAAUUACUGGGCGUAAAGCGUGCGCAGGCGGUUAUGCGAGACAGAUGUGAAAUCCCCGGGCUCAACCUGGGAACUGCAUUUGUGACUGCAUAGCUAGAGUGCGGCAGAGGGAGAUGGAAUUCCGCGUGUAGCAGUGAAAUGCGUAGAUAUGCGGAGGAACACCGAUGGCGAAGGCAAUCUCCUGGGCCUGCACUGACGCUCAUGCACGAAAGCGUGGGGAGCAAACAGG